AUUGAACGCUGGCGGCAUGCCUUACACAUGCAAGUCGAACGGCAGCGGGGGAGAAGCUUGCUUUUCCUGCCGGCGAGUGGCGAACGGGUGAGUAAUACAUCGGAACGUGCCCUGUAGUGGGGGAUAACUAGUCGAAAGAUUAGCUAAUACCGCAUACGACCUGAGGGUGAAAGUGGGGGACCGCAAGGCCUCAUGCUAUAGGAGCGGCCGAUGUCUGAUUAGCUAGUUGGUGGGGUAAAGGCCUACCAAGGCGACGAUCAGUGGCUGGUGUGAGAGGACGAUCAGCCACACUGGGACUGAGACACGGCCCAGACUCCUACGGGAGGCAGCAGUGGGGAAUUUUGGACAAUGGGCGAAAGCCUGAUCCAGCAAUGCCGCGUGUGUGAAGAAGGCCUUCGGGUUGUAAAGCACUUUUGUCCGGAAAGAAAUGGCUCUGGUUAAUACCUGGGGUCGAUGACGGUACCGGAAGAAUAAGGACCGGCUAACUACGUGCCAGCCGCCGCGGUAA
rnacentral:rRNA from 1 species